rnacentral:rRNA from 1 species
AAAUUGAAGAGUUUGAUCAUGGCUCAGAUUGAACGCUGGCGGCAGGCCUAACACAUGCAAGUCGAACGGUAACAGGAAGCAGCUUGCUGCUUUGCUGACGAGUGGCGGACGGGUGAGUAAUGUCUGGGAAACUGCCUGAUGGAGGGGGAUAACUACUGGAAACGGUGGCUAAUACCGCAUAACGUCGCAGGACCAAAGAGGGGGACCUUCGGGCCUCUUGCCAUCAGAUGUGCCCAGAUGGGAUUAGCUUGUUGGUGAGGUAACGGCUCACCAAGGCGACGAUCCCUAGCUGGUCUGAGAGGAUGACCAGCCACACUGGAACUGAGACACGGUCCAGACUCCUACGGGAGGCAGCAGUGGGGAAUAUUGCACAAUGGGCGCAAGCCUGAUGCAGCCAUGCCGCGUGUAUGAAGAAGGCCUUCGGGUUGUAAAGUACUUUCAGCGGGGAGGAAGGUGUUGUGGUUAAUAACCGCAGC